UACGUAGGGUGCAAGCGUUGUCCGGAAUUAUUGGGCGUAAAGAGCUCGUAGGCGGUCUGUCACGUCGGAUGUGAAAAUCCAGGGCUUAACCCUGGACCUGCAUUCGAUACGGGUAGACUAGAGGUAUGCAGGGGAGAACGGAAUUCCUGGUGUAGCGGUGAAAUGCGUAGAGAUCAGGAGGAACACCCGGGGCGAAGGCGGCCCUCUGGCUCGACCCUGACGCUGAGGCGCGAAAGCGUGGGGAGCGAACGGG
rnacentral:rRNA from 1 species